rnacentral:rRNA from 1 species
ACAAGCGGUGGAGCAUGUGGUUUAAUUCGACGCAACGCGCAAAACCUUACCUGGGCUAGAAAUGUCAGGAACCUGGUCGAAAGAUCGGGUGCCCUUCGGGGAAUCUGAUGUUAGGUGCUGCAUGGCUGUCGUCAGCUCGUGUCGUGAGAUGUUGGGUUAAGUCCCGCAACGAGCGCAACCCUUGCCGUUAGUUGCCAUCAUUAAGUUGGGCACUCUAACGGGACUGCCGACUUCAAGUCGGAGGAAGUGGGGAUGACGUCAAGUCCUCAUGGCCCUUACGUCCAGGGCUACACACGUGCUACAAUGGUUGGUACAAUGGGUUGCGAACCUGCGAAGGGGAGCUAAUCUCAAAAAACCAGCCUCAGUACAGAUAAGAGUCUGCAACUCGACUCUUUGAAGUCGGAAUCGCUAGUAAUCGCUGAUCAGCAUGGCAGCGGUCGAAUACGUUCCCGGGCCUU